rnacentral:rRNA from 1 species
ACUUUGAAAAGAGGGUUAAAAGACUUGAAAUCGUUGAAAAGGAAGCGAUAGAAGAGAAAUGAUUCCCUGUCAAGAUGUCAAUUGAGCUAAGUUGCGCGGUGGAGGAUAUCUAAUAGAGUCCUUGCCGUGUAAUGAAAAUCAAGUGGCUGUUGGCAGGUGAAAGGCAAGAUGAGGUGGGGUUGCAAGAAUAAGGUGAAGAGUGUAUUCUCUAGCUAAAAAUUGCAAUCCUGCCUGAGGGAUCAGAUGAUGAUCUUGCCAAAAUGGCUUUUAUCGACCCGUCUUGAAACACGGACCAAGGAGUCUACCUAUUAUGCGAGUGUUAAGGUGGAGAAACCUAAACGCGUACCGAAAGGGAUGUAAGAUGUGAGGCGCAAGCUGCAACAUCAACCAAUCUUGAUUCUUUGAUGAAGGACUUGAGUAAGAGCAUAAUCGGUAGGACCCGAAAGAUGGUGAACUACGGUUGAAUAGGGCGAAGCCAGGGGAAACUCUGGUGGAGGCUCGAAGCGGUACUGACGUGCAAAUCGUUCGUCAAAUUUGACUGUAGGGGCGAAAGACUAAUCGAACCAUCUAGUAGCUGGUUCCCUCUGAAAUUUCUCUCAGGAUAGCAGGAACAGAUUAUGCAGUUUUAUUAGGUAAAGCUAAUGAUUAGUGGACUCGGGGGCCUCGUGCCCUUGACCAAUUCUCAAACUUUAAAUUGGUAAGAACUUCGAGUUAUCUUAAUUGAACUCGGAGAAGGAAUGCGUUGUUCUUAGUGGGCCAUUUUUGGUAAGCAGAACUGGCGAUGAGGGAUGAACCUAACGUCGAGCUAAGGUGCCCAAAUUCACGCUCAUCAGACACCAUAAAAGGUGUUGGUUAGUAUAAACAGCCGGACUGUGGCCAUGGAAGUCGGCACCAGCUAAGGAGUGUGUAACAACUCACCAGCCGAAUUAACCAGCCCUGAAAAUUGAUGGCGCUAAGCGUGAUACCGAUACUCGACCAACAGGGCAAAUAGAAGCCUUGUUGAGUAAGAGGGCGUGAACAUUGUGUAGAAGGCUUGGACGUGAGUCUGGCUGGAACAAUGUUUAGUGCAGAUCUUGGUGGUAGUAGCAAAUAUUCAAAUGAGAACUUUGAAGACCGAAGUGGAGAAGGGUUCCAUGAGAACAGCAUUUGGUCAUGGGUUACUCGAUCCUAAGACAUAGGGAAAUUCCUUGUAAUAUAUGGGUUCUUAACGAAUCCGUUGUCAAAAGGGAAUGAGGUUGAUAUUCCUCAAGCUGAAUGCGGAGGUUUCGUGGCAACACAAACAAGCUUGGAGACAUCGGCGUGUGCAACUGGAAGAGUUCUCUUUUCUUCUUAACAAUCUAUCUCCCUGAAUGGAUUAUCCAAAGCUAGGGAUGUAUGGUUGGCAGAGCAGUUCACCAUCGAACUGUCAGUGAUGCUCAUGACGAUCCUUGAAAAUCCAAGUACGGUGAUCCUUUCGCAUCAGGUCGUACCCAUAACCGCAUCAGGUCUCCAAGGUUAGCAGCCUCUGGUCGAUAGAAUAACGUAGAUAAGGGAAUUCGGCAAAUUAGAUCCGUAACUUCGGGAAAAGGAUUGGCUCUGAGGAUUGGGUGUUUAGACCCCUACUUGGACGAUGGAAGGUGAUUAGGACUUGCCGCAAGGCAGGACCUAGUUAUUUGAAAUCAGAAUUGUAGGGAGCUCUUGCACAAGUAACAAUCGACUCGGAACUGAAGCGGACAAGGAGAAUCCGACUGUUUAAUAAAAACAUAGCAUUGUGAUGGCGUGAAAACGUGUUGACACAAUGUGAUUUCUGCCCAGUGCUUUGAAUGUGAAUAUGAAGUAAUUUGUAGAAGCUCAGGUAAACGGCGGGAGUAACUAUGACUCUCUUAAGGUAGCCAAAUGCCUCGUCAUCUAAUUAGUGACGCGCAUGAAUGGAUCAAUGAGAUUCUCACUGUCCCUAUCUACUAUCUAGCGAACCCACAGCCAAGGGAACGGGCUUGGAAUAAUCAGCGGGGAAAGAAGACCCUGUUGAGCUUGACUCUAGUCCGACUUUGUGAAAUGACUUUCGAGAUAUAGCCUAAGUGGGAGCUAACGCGCCGCUGUAAAACCACUGCUCGCUUAGCCAUUUUACUUACUCCAUGAAGAAGUGGCCGGCUUGCCGGUUCUUAGAUUUAAAUGCUAGCUCGCACUAGCAUGAGCUUUGUGGAGGACAAGGUCAGGUGGGGAGUUUGACUGGGGCGGUACAUCUGUUAAACAAUAACGCAGGAGAUCGG